GCUCGCGUAGCAUAAAUAAAGCAUGACACUGAAGAUGUUAAGAUGGACCCUAGAAAGUUCCGCAGGCA
rnacentral:tRNA from 1 species